UGGGGAAUAUUGCACAAUGGGGGAAACCCUGAUGCAGCGACGCCGCGUGAAGGAUGAAGUAUUUCGGUAUGUAAACUUCUAUCAGCAGGGAAGAAAAUGACGGUACCUGACUAAGAAGCCCCGGCUAACUACGUGCCAGCAGCCGCGGUAAUACGUAGGGGGCAAGCGUUAUCCGGAUUUACUGGGUGUAAAGGGAGCGUAGACGGCUGUGCAAGUUUGAAGUGAAAGGCAAGGGCUCAACCUUUGGACUGCUUUGAAAACUGUGCAGCUAGAGCGUCGGAGAGGUAAGUGGAAUUCCUAGUGUAGCGGUGAAAUGCGUAGAUAUUAGGAGGAACACCAGUGGCGAAGGCGGCUUACUGGACGAUGACUGACGUUGAGGCUCGAAAGCGUGGGGAGCAAACAGGAUUAGAUACCC
rnacentral:rRNA from 1 species